UACAGAGGGUGCGAGCGUUGUUCGGAAUUACUGGGCGUAAAGCGCGCGCAGGCGGCUCUUCAAGUCAGGGGUGAAAGCCCAGAGCUCAACUCUGGAACUGCCUUUGAGACUGUAGAGCUUGAGUACGGGAGAGGUGAGUGGAAUUCCCAGUGUAGAGGUGAAAUUCGUAGAUAUUGGGAAGAACACCGGUAGCGAAGGCGGCUCACUGGCCCGUUACUGACGCUCAGGCGCGACAGCGUGGGGAUCAAACAGG
rnacentral:rRNA from 1 species